AAAGUGUCACACGGAACUGCCGGUCAUAAACCGGAGGAAGGUGGGGAUGACGUCAAGUCAGCAUGGCCUUUAUAUCCUGGGCUACACACACGCUACAAUGGGAAGGGACAAUAGGUUGCGAAGCCGCGAGGCGGAGCCAAUCCAGCAAAUUCCCUCAGUUCAGAUUGCAGGCUGCAACCCGCCUGCAUGAAGUUGGAGUUGCUAGUAAACGCAGGUCAGCCAUACUGCGUUGAAUACGUUCCCGGGGCUU
rnacentral:rRNA from 1 species